rnacentral:rRNA from 1 species
UUCYGGUUGAUCCYGCCRGAGGCCACUGCUAUGGGGGUCCGACUAAGCCAUGCGAGUCACGGGGUCCCUUCGGGGACACCGGCGGACGGCUCAGUAACACGUCGGUAACCUACCCUCGGGAGGGGGAUAACCCCGGGAAACUGGGGCUAAUCCCCCAUAGGCCUGAGGUACUGGAAGGUCCUCAGGCCGAAAGGGUCUCUGACCGCCCGAGGAUGGGCCGGCGGCCGAUUAGGUAGUUGGUGGGGUAACGGCCCACCAAGCCGAAGAUCGGUACGGGCCAUGAGAGUGGGAGCCCGGAGAUGGACACUGAGACACGGGUCCAGGCCCUACGGGGCGCAGCAGGCGCGAAACCUCCGCAAUGCGGGAAACCGCGACGGGGGGACCCCCAGUGCCGUGGCAUCGCCACGGCUUUUCCGGAGUGUAAAGAGCUCCGGGAAUAAGGGCUGGGCAAGGCCGGUGGCAGCCGCCGCGGUAAUACCGGCGGCCCGAGUGGUGGCCGCUAUUAUUGGGCCUAAAGCGUCCGUAGCCGGGCCUGUAAGUCCCUGGCGAAAUCCCACGGCUCAACCGUGGGGCUUGCUGGGGAUACUGCAGGCCUUGGGACCGGGAGAGGCGGAGGGUACUCCUGGGGUAGGGGUGAAAUCCUAUAAUCCCAGGAGGACCGCCAGUGGCGAAGGCGCUCCGCUGGAACGGGUCCGACGGUGAGGGACGAAGGCCAGGGGAGCGAACCGGAUUAGAUACCCGGGUAGUCCUGGCUGUAAAGGAUGCGGGCUAGGUGUCGGGUGAGCUUCGUGCUCGCCCGGUGCCGAAGGGAAGCCGUUAAGCCCGCCGCCUGGGGAGUACGGCCGCAAGGCUGAAACUUAAAGGAAUUGGCGGGGGAGCACUACAAGGGGUGGAGCGUGCGGUUUAAUUGGANUCAACGCCGGY